rnacentral:rRNA from 1 species
UACGUAGGGUGCGAGCGUUGUCCGGAAUUAUUGGGCGUAAAGAGCUUGUAGGCGGUUUGUCGCGUCUGCCGUGAAAAUCCGGGCUCAACCCCGGACUUGCGGUGGGUACGGGCAGACUAGAGUGUGGUAGGGGAGACUGGAAUUCCUGGUGUAGCGGUGAAAUGCGCAGAUAUCAGGAGGAACACCGAUGGCGAAGGCAGGUCUCUGGGCCACUACUGACGCUGAGAAGCGAAAGCGUGGGAGCGAACAGG